AGCAGCCGCGGUAAUUCCAGCUCCAAUAGCGUAUAUUAAAGUUGCUGCAGUUAAAAAGCUCGUAGUUGAAUUUCGGGACCAUCAUGUCGGUCGUGCCUCGGUACGUACUGGCGUUGUUGGUUUCUCCCUUCUGACGAACCAUGAUGUCAUUUAUUUGGUGUUGUGGGGAAUCAGGACUGUUACUUUGAAAAAAUUAGAGUGUUUAAAGCAGGCUCACGCUUGAAUACAUUAGCAUGGAAUAAUGAAAUAGGACGUUUGAUUCUAUUUUGUUGGUUUCUAGGAUCGACGUAAUGAUUAAUAGGGAUAGUUGGGGGCAUUAGUAUUCAAUUGUCAGAGGUGAAAUUCUUGGAUUUAUUGAAGACUAACUACUGCGAAAGCAUUUGCCAAGGAUGUUUUCAUUAAUCAAGAACGAAAGUUAGGGGAUCGAAGACGAUCAAAUACCGUCGUAGUCUUAACCAUAAACUAUGCCGACUAGGGAUCGGAUGAUGUUAAUUUUUAAUGACUCAUUCGGCGCCUUAAC
rnacentral:rRNA from 1 species